GCUACUCUAGCGCGAGAGGGCGCGAUUUUCGCGUCAUCAUUUUCGCGUACGAAAAUGGCGACAAGCUGCUUCGGGAGCCGGUGCGAGCAAUAACGGCAAGCCCUACUUGAGUCUCCUGUCUAGGAUGGUAAACGUAUAUCAAUGGGAAUGAAAACGAUGACAUCAUCUUCCCAAUGCAUUCAGCUAUACUGCACGGUAAGCUCUUGCGACGGAGGGUCGAGAUCGGAACAAAAAUUGCACUAAAACAGUCUAUUAAUUUCUUACCUCCAUUUGAGCAUGGCAAUACUUACUGAUCUGAAGUCGAGGGGCCCAACAAUGAACAGACUUGGGCUGCAUGAGCCGUCGAAUAUCUGUGGUUCCAAGAAAGCGUGAUGGAAAUGCCGCCUUAAAAAAACCAACCCCACCUCUGCCUCUGUUCUUGGCGAUCCUGCAUUCCAUUCAGACUGCAACUUUAAGCAGGAAUUGUUCUACCAACUACUUAAUUAUUCACAAAUGUGAAUUGCAGCUUUUAAAUUGACAAGAAAGAAACAAUUGAUUUAUCUCACCCCCCCCCCCAACUGUCUUCUAACAUUUUCUAUCACCCCAAACUAACACUUUUUUUCUUGUAUGUCUGUUUAAAUAUUUUUAUUUAGACUUUAUGUAAUUUUUUCAUGAUUUAUUUAAGAAGUAUGAGCAAAAAAACAAACAAUUUGGCACAUGCAGUAGAGAAGAGAAGGAACAUAGUGUUGAAAAAAGGAUACACAUACAGAUCUGAAUAUUAAAAUAAAUUUAAAAAAGAAAUGACAAAUCCACACUGACACAUGAAAGUAUUCAUUUUAUUUUUUUUCCUUGUUGGCAUUGGUUACAUUAAUUAACUCCACAUAAAAAUAUAAAUUGGAUAUUUUAACAGUAUUAAUGAAGUUGCUCAAUAAAAUUUAAAAUUAGGUACAUGUAUUCUCAUUGGAGGUAAUGGUUGAUACAGAUGGGUGGGUGGACCUGCAGCCACUAGCGUACCUAUGGGGGGGGGGCAGACUGCCCCCCCGACGAGUCACAACCCAUGCAAGGGACGUAUCCCUGCCCCCCCCCCCUGAUGAGCCACCGGUGGCCCCCUCCUUUGAAGUUUAAGACCGAAAGUACGAAAUCCUUUAUUUGUGGUUGAAGACUUUUUUGCUUGUCAAAUUUUUGGGCUAACGAUUUUGCCCCCCCCCCCCCUGUGGAAAAUCCUAGGUACGCUACUGCCUGCAGCUCUAUUGUUUUAUUAGAUUUUCAUUUUUUAUUGCUGGGGGGGGGGUAUUAUGUAGAGCUGAAGCCAAAUGAUCUUAUGAGGCAAGAUUCAGUGUACAGCUCAAUAUGAUGCAUGUAAAGUGAUUUAUUAAACUUUUGAAAUAUCAAUUAAGAACUGGAAUGAUGAAUGAUAUGAAUAUAAGAAAUAUAUUAAAUGCAUGUAAAGUGAUUUAUUAAACUUUUGAAAUAUCAAUUAAGAACUGGAAUGAUGAAUGUUAUGAAUAUAAGAAAUCUAUUAUAUGCUAGUUCAUCACAACUUUAG